rnacentral:lncRNA from 1 species
CCUAAAAAGUCAUAGCAAACCCAGUAGCUACUUGUACUAAAAAGCAAGUAAGCGUAAUUCCCCCUAAACAAUAAAAUAUAUUGACGUGGGGAGGAACAUAUUUACUAGUUAUAUCAUCCGCAAUUGCUUGAAUCUCGAGACGUUNNNNNNNNNNGUUCUAGCACCAUGCCAAAUGUAUAAAAUAUAUUGACGUGGGGAGGUACAUAUUUACUAGUUAUAUCAUCUGCAAUUGCUUGAAUCUCGAGACGUUCUUCGAACCAAUCAUAUACUUUAUUGAGAUAGGCGGAACUCCCCCUCUGAGAACUGUAUAUGAGACUUUCAUCUCGUACAGCUCAAGCAAAAACACCCAAAUACUAGUUGCAACAGAUAUGAAUAGAAAGUUUGAAUUAUUAAGUUCUGAUCCCAUCUUCUCUGGAAAAUCCGAAAGCUCUUCUUUGUGGCGAUAAUACCAAAAUAUCAAGUUGGCGCAGUCGUCUUUAUCUUUAUUUUGAUACUU